rnacentral:rRNA from 1 species
CGAGUCGCAAGACCGCGAGGUUUAGCAAAUCUCUUAAAGCCGUUCUCAGUUCGGAUUGUAGGCUGCAACUCGCCUACAUGAAGUCGGAAUCGCUAGUAAUCGCGGAUCAGCAUGCCGCGGUGAAUACGUUCCCGGGCCUUGUACACACCGCCCGUCACACCAUGAGAGUUUGUAACACCCAAAGCCGGUGGGGUAACCUUUUGGAGCCAGCCGUCUAAGGUGGGACAGAUGAUUAGGGUGAAGUCGUAACAAGGUAAC